AUCCAGCUGACUAGUUCCUAAUAGGACGAAAUGCGUAUCCUGGGU
rnacentral:hammerhead_ribozyme from 1 species